rnacentral:rRNA from 1 species
GACGAACGCUGGCGGCGUGCUUAACACAUGCAAGUCGAGCGGAGCGGCGAACGGGUGAGUAACGCGUGAGUAACUGCCCCCCUCUCUGGGAUAACAGUUGGAAACGGCUGCUAAUACCGGAUAGUGGGGGAUGACUCGCGUCCUAUCAGCUUGUUGGUGGGGUAGUGGCCUACCAAGGGGACGACGGGUAGCCGGCCUGGGCGGCGGACCGGCCACAAGGGGCUGAGAUACGGCGCAAACUCCUACGGGAGGCAGUGGUGGGGAAUAUUGCACAAUGGGGGAAACCCUGAUGCAGCGACGCCGGGUGCGGGAUGACGGCCUUCGGGUUGUAAACCGCUUUCAGCCAUGACGCGGUAGUGGCAGAAGAAGCACCGGCUAACUACGUGCCAGCCGCCGCGGUAAUUC